UCUUGUGCCUCAGCUAGUGAAAAAGAGACAGGCUUGGAGGAAGAAAGACUUUGCAGGAAAAUUGUCUUUUCUGCUGGAGGUGAAUGGCAUCGCACUGGGACUCAGGAGGAUGGCAGGAGGCCAGUCUGAUGUUCAUUUCAGAUGUGGGCAGCAGAUGGCACGGCAGCGACUCUACUUAAACUAAACGGAUCUCAUUAUCGUUCCAUUUUUCCUGGCACAAGGACAGCGUAAAGAUCUAGAAGUAACUUGGCCACCAACCAUGCUGUCCCACAGAAGGCAUAUGGAGAAUGACCUCUGACCUCUGACCUCUGCUCUGUGAGGACAUUGUAUCUAAGUGUUCAUCUUCAAACCAGAGAAGAACUUCCUCCGACAGACUGCUCUGCUCAGCCUUCAGAACUGUGAGGAUCUCAUUUUUGUUUUCUAAACUGCCCUUUUAUUUUAUUUUAUUUUUUUAUUUCGCCGUUAGUCCAAACCAUCGCUGUCAAGUUGACAAUUUAUUUUAUUUUUCUUUCUUCAUAAAAUGUAAGUACUGACAAGACCAUAGGAUAAGACGGGUAGAUUUCUAGUUGCCUAAGGGGGCCCCAAAUCACUGGAACACCUGA